AACGCAUAUUGCGCUCUCUGGUAUUCCGGGGAGCAUGCCUGUUUCAGCAUCAUUUGAACAUCUCAAAAUCGUUCGUUUUUGGAUGGUUUUGGAAGCUGGGCUUAUUGUGUUGUGUUUCUUAGCAUUCACAACUGGCCUGAAAUAUGUGACAAAUCAAUGCAAGAAACAUGUGUAGAUGCUUGAAAGCAGAGACGAAAAGCUUAUUAGUUGACUACGGUCAAACUUGCUGACUAGUCUUGAACUAGAGAGCAUAUCUACAUUCACAAUUUGAUCUGAAAUCAGGUAGGAUUACCCGCUGAACUUAA
rnacentral:misc_RNA from 1 species